rnacentral:rRNA from 1 species
AGCCUGCCCAGUGACAUAGUUUAACGGCCGCGGUACCCUGACCGUGCAAAGGUAGCAUAAUCACUUGUUCCUUAAAUAGGGACUGGUAUGAAUGGCACCACGAGGGCUUUACUGUCUCCUUUUCCUAAUCAGUGAAACUGAUCUCCCUGUGAAGAAGCAGGGAUAUAAAUAUAAGACGAGAAGACCCCAUGGAGCUUUAAACCCAACAACAACCCUAAUUUUUUAAUACAUUAUAAUUAUAUAAGUCCUGUCCGUUGGUUUUAGGUUGGGGUGACCGCGGAGUAAAACUUAUCCUCCACGACGAAUGGGACUACCCCCUUAUCCAAGAGCCACUUCUCUAAGAAUUAACAAAUUGACGUUUAAUGAUCCAAUUUCUUUGAUCAACGAACCAAGUUACCCUGGGGAUAACAGCGCAAUCCAUUUAGAGAGCCCAUAUCGACAAAUGGGUUUACGACCUCGAUGUUGGAUCAGGGUAUCCCAGUGGUGCAGCCGCUACUAAUGGUUUGUUUGUUCAACAAUUAAAACCCUACGUGAUCUGA